CACACAUAUAUAUACCCAUCUGUCUGUAGCUUGAAGCAAAAAAGUAAAAUGUCAAUUAGAAGCUACUUAUUGGUGCUAUGGAGUGAAUCUAAACCAGAAAGCAGGUGACAUUUCUAGAAACAUCUACUGUAACUGUCACUUGCAGGUUAAUGCAUAGUAAAAAACAGUUUUAUAAGUAGCUUUCAUGACACUAAGUAUCUGAUCUUUUGAACAAUUUCUUCAUGUAGACUAAAAUAACUAACUUUUGAAAUAAUUCUGUGAUCUCUGGAAACAAACUUAAAAAACAAAUGUGAAUUUAGGAAGCAAACAUCUUUGAUGUAAAGGCCUGCUUUUUUUCUGGUCUUUUUGAACAUUUUCUUUCUUUACCCUGUGAUGAAAUUUUAUCUCAUCUCUUAUGAGACACACAUUCAAGAAGGAUGAGCAGGAGGUUAAAAGGUGGCAGCAGAGUAAAGGAAUUCUCCUAAGGUUAAUUCUGCCAAAUCCAGGACCCUAUAAAAAAGUGUUUACGAGACUCCCUGUAUAGUAAUUCUGGUAGUAAUAUACUAGCCACCAUCACUCUGCCUGUUUACUUGUCUUUUCUUCCAUGAAAUUCAAGUUCCUUAAGGAUAUGAACCACUUGGCAAAAUAGGAAAACAUAACUAGUGUUGGAGUCGCUCAUCCCCAUAUUUUAUGCUAGCCUUUCAGUUUCUAUCUGUGUAAUCACAUUAUUUGUCAAAAAUUAACACUGGCUAAGCCAACUUCCUUUUUCUGUCGGAAUAAGCAGGCGAGGGCUGCUCUGGAGGCUGAAUAGCACAUCUGUGGGCUAGACUCCUUUCAUCUUUCUGCUUGAUUUCCUUCUCGUUUGCCUUUGUCCCCAAGGUUGCAACAAGCUAAGCCUCUGAUGUCUGCCUGCCCAACAGAAAGAAGAAGAGGACGCAGGAAGCAUGCAAAGAGCUUCCUCCCAAGAACUAACUCCUCCUUUCUGGAAGGACACCCUCCCCAAGGACUUCUGUCUAAUCACAUCGGCUCUGCUCCCUAGCCACAGUGUGGGGGUUAAAAUAAUUACUCCUUUGGGAACAUUUCGUUAACUUCAUUUACAGAGAUCUAAAUUCCAUCCAAGCAAAAGACGUAAUAAAUGCAAAACUCAAUUGGAAAAAUAAAGAGGU
rnacentral:lncRNA from 1 species